rnacentral:rRNA from 1 species
AACGCGAAGAACCUUACCAAGUCUUGACAUCCCUCUGACCGGCGCGUAACGGCGUCUUUCCUUCGGGACAGAGGAGACAGGUGGUGCAUGGUUGUCGUCAGCUCGUGUCGUGAGAUGUUGGGUUAAGUCCCGCAACGAGCGCAACCCUUACCUUCAGUAGCCAGCAUUUCGGAUGGGCACUCUGGAGGGACUGCCAGGGAUAACCUGGAGGAAGGUGGGGAUGACGUCAAAUCAUCAUGCCCCUUAUGAUUUGGGCUACACACGUGCUACAAUGGCGUAAACAAAGGGAAGCGAGAGCGUGAGCUUAAGCAAAUCUCAAAAAUAACGUCUCAGUUCGGAUUGUAGUCUGCAACUCGACUACAUGAAGCUGGAAUCGCUAGUAAUCGUGAAUCAGAAUGCUACGGUGAAUACGUUCCCGGGUCUUGUACACACCG